AUUGAACGCUGGUGGUAUGCUUAACACAUGCAAGUCGGACGGUAACAUUGGAGCUUGCUCCAGAUGACGAGUGGCGGACGGGCGAGUAACGCGUAGGAAUCUGCCUAUAAGAGGGGGACAACCAUUGGAAACGAUGGCUAAUACCGCAUGUUGCCUUAGGGCAAAAAGUGGCUUCGGCUGCUGCUUAUAGAUGAGCCUGCGUUAGAUUAGCUAGAUGGCGGGGUAAAGGCCUACCAUGGCAACGAUCUAUAGCUGUUCUGAGAGGAAGAUCAGCCGCACUGGGACUGAGACACGGCCCAG
rnacentral:rRNA from 1 species